GAUUCGCCCGCCGCGCGCGGCGGGCGGGGCGGGGGCACGGGGGGACUCUACGGGAGGCAGCAGUGGGGAAUUUUGGACAAUGGGCGCAAGCCUGAUCCAGCAAUGCCGCGUGAGUGAAGAAGGCCUUCGGGUUGUAAAGCUCUUUUGUCAGGGAAGAAACGGUAGGAGCUAAUAUCUCUUGCUAAUGACGGUACCUGAAGAAUAAGCACCGGCUAACUACGUGCCAGCAGCCGCGGUAAU
rnacentral:rRNA from 1 species